rnacentral:sRNA from 1 species
UCGAAAGACAUUCAUUCAAGAAAUUCUAACGUGAUUAUCGUAAAUAGCUGGAAUUGUAGAUAUUUACAAUGACAUAGAUCAUUUUUCUUCGACGAAAUUACGGCCUAAUGUCGAGACAAGAAUAAUAUGACGCUGAUCUGUGUUUUGACAAGAAUAUGAAUGAUCUUAAGAAAAGGCUUCACUGAAUCAAUUGAAAGACAGCGUCUUCAAUUGUCCUACUAAAUUCUUUACAGAUGACAUCUGGGUCUGGGGAGAUCAUGCAAAAAAAUAAGACAUCAUUUAUAACUUUCAACCUUCCGCUCACAGGACAAAUUCUCGAAGACGCUACGGAAAGAUGCUGAGCUUGAUCAUAAUUCUUCAGGCUCCCAAUUCAAGAAUACAAUUACUUAGCGUGGGUGCUUCUGCUCAGUCUUCGUUUCCUAUCUCCACAUACCAAUCACUCGUUUGUUACUAAUUCGAAUAAUUUACUGCUGUAAGGAGUCGUACCGCCAACUAAAUCUGAAUAACAAUUUGGCUGCUAGAAGUUAAAAAGUAGGCGCUGCAAUGAUUAUGUGGUAUGAUCAGAUUGUGUCGCAACGCUCAGCGGGGUUUUGGCUCAAUGGGACCGCUGCUAAUAAAACGUUUAACUAGCGAAUUUUGGAACACACCCGUUGACAAAAGUAUAAGGAGUCUCUUUCCGUGAGUUCCCCUCUUCCUCUCACUGCACUUCAACUAUGCCUUAUAGCAACCAAGAAGCUAGAAAAUGCCAACUAUUAAAAAGAUAACCUCUUUGGAAGCAAAUAAAACGGAGAUUAUCUUGGGAUCUAUUUCACAAAUUUACGGUUAAUUGGAAUGAACAGCGCCAAGUAGCACUGGUCAAACUGCAGAGAGUAUUAGAACUUGCUUUAUUCCGUAUAUCGUACUUUAGGUCGUCAGUUUUACCACUUCGGUACGCAAAUGAAAAUGAAAAGCUCAUUCACAACUUAGACACAAUUUCGCCGUUUACAAGUAGCUGAAAAGUCCAUCUAUCGAAUUAUGAAUGAUACUAUUUUAAAUAUAGUCGUUGCUGCACUCGUUUUCCAUGUUCUUUUUAUCCACACAUCCGAUGUUUUACUUACAGUUGAGCAUCUCAGGGCCAGCGACAAAUAUAAACAUAUUAUACUCAAAAUGAAGCUCGUUGAAAAGAGAAUAUUUCUUAACCUCUUUUACAGUGUUUUCAACACCUUUUCAUCUGUGUGCCAUGUCAGAUUAAGGAUGCUCAACUUUUCGAAUUAUUAUUACAAAUUUCAAAGAAAUUACUAGUCCUUUUUGUCUCCUAAUGUAUCCCUCAUUUCAUACCGUCGUUUUGGGGUUCCAACUACGUAUAGCUUUCAAGUGUGGUUUUACGGUAAGAACAACCCCCCAUCGGUUAGUGCGGAAUACUUUCCUAUUCUCAUCGAGAGCCGAGCCAUACACCUAAGGUGGACAGAAAGCUAAAAUUCCAACAGAAAAAUCUAACAUCUUUGCUCCCUUACAAGUAGGAACGCUAGCGUAUCAACCCAUCUCCAGAUUUGCCCAGCAUUUCUGUAGAACACCCAAUGCGAAUGAAGACUAAUGAAUAUUGUAAAGACAAAAAAUAGGAAAAGUUUAAUUGGUGAUGGUUCUCACCACCCCAAAACGGUCCCUUGCAUGCAUUGAGGUCAUGCACCUGCAGUACUUGUUUUUCUCGAAUGUUUUUUACCAUCUCUUUUUUCCUUAUCUGAGCUGCUGACGCAGACGGACAUUGUUUCAUAUUUCGAAAGCUGUGCGGGAAAACGGACCCUAACACGAAUGUGAAUGCGCUAAUCGGUAUUUCCACCACAUGAAACCUGCUACUUUUUCAGUCCUCUUCGUAUGCAUUUCCCAAAAUUCAUUCGUAGCCUUGUCAACUUAGACUCAGUUCCACGGCGUGCAGGACGGGGUAUUAUGAAUAAAAGGAUCCACGGGCGAGAUUUGUUCUAUGUUUUAGGUAUGGAGUUUUGUACCACAAAACUUUAGGAAUACCGGAUUGUGUGCCUACGCCAGCCCCAGAGUAUGUUCUCACAGCUGUAAUUCCUAGUGAUCUUUUCCUGGCUCCAAUAGGAACGCCGGUAGGCAAAUUAAACUUUCGUGGCAGGAAAAAAAAGGCUUUUUCUUUUUUGCCUUUCAGUUUCUCGGAAUGUGGCAUUACAUAAGCAUAAUCCUUUUUGGGUGUGCCUGGAAAGUUCAAAUUAAGGUUUUUUUCUUCUGUUUUCUUGACAAGAAAAUGUCGCCCAAAGAGUUUCGGCCGUUAUUUUUCCUAUCGAAGUGGGUCCUUUUUGUCUUUAGUCCUUCUCUGGGGCUAGCGAUCACUGCAAAAUUAGGCUUCACUGGUACGAGUUAACUUUUUUUCUUUUUUUUUGUCAUCCUUUUCUUUGGGGCUAAGAAUGGACUUCCCUUUUCUUUUUCUUUGUUGCAGCAGUGGCUUCAAAGAACUGCUGAUUGCUCAAGGCAAUCAGUCCGAGCGUUUAGAAGGUGAUUGUAGGCAGAAAUUAACUUUGCGGUAAAAGAAUGACAUUCUUUCUUAAAAGAAAAAUUAGCUUUUUUUUGUCAGGCAUUGCACAAACUUUUUUAUUUCUGCCUAUACUCUUAAACAGAUCAGUCAUUCAUGUUGUCUUUUUAACGGUCGUACUGGGACAUCGCAUGCCUUGGGAUUCCGUAAUUAGGUGCAACAAUACGGGCACAACUCAUUCUGCGCUAUCUUCACGGACAGAACUUCUAUUGCCUAUCGGUGGUGUGAUUAACAAUUGGAAGCGCAGAGCUUGGAAUGGAUUUUCAAUUCAAUGGAUUUGGAGGUAUUCGUUUGUUUACUAAUAUUUACUUUGAGGACAUUGUCCAACCCUAAAAGUGCCUGUUCCAGAAUAGAAUAACAUUAUGAUACGUUUUCUUGACCGCUGAGCAAUUUAAAGCAACUAUUAGGGUACGAUUGUUUCUAGAGAAAUGUGGGUCAUCUUUUUAGGUCCGUUCUCUUCUGAUGAGGUAACCUUUUCUUUACAAAAAUGUCAUAGAGUUACCAAUUGGGAUUCAAGGCAUCAUCGCAAUAUACUUCGUUCUUUUACGGAGAAAUUAAGCUCUUUCCACUUUGAAUUAACUGUUAGACUUGUCUUAUCUGAGGAAUGUCCGUGUUCAAAUUAAAUAAAAAUUUAGGGCAGUUUUAUUUACCUUAACAAAUAUGUUCAAGCAUGUAGGU